AUCUAACUGACGAGCCUCAAAUAGAACGAAACGCGAGUCCUAGAC
rfam:Schistosoma mattheei strain Denwood, Zambia genome assembly, scaffold: SMTD_scaffold0013666